rnacentral:rRNA from 1 species
CAGAGCCGCGGGAACACGAAGGGUGCAAGCGUUAAUCGGAAUUACUGGGCGUAAAGCGUGCGUAGGCGGUUUGUUAAGUCUGCUGUGAAAUCCCCGGGCUCAACCUGGGAAUGGCAGUGGAUACUGGCAAGCUAGAGUGUGUCAGAGGAUGGUGGAAUUCCCGGUGUAGCGGUGAAAUGCGUAGAGAUCGGGAGGAACAUCAGUGGCGAAGGCGGCCCCCUGGACAAAGACUGACGCUCAGGUGCGAAAGCGUGGGGAGCAAACAGGAUUAGAGACCCCAGUAGUCCCUGUCUCUUAUACC